GUCUACGGCCAUACCACCCUGAACGCGCCCGAUCUCGUCUGAUCUCGGAAAAAGCAAAUGGAGAGAGAAAGAGUAACACAUUUAUUGAAAAUA
rnacentral:rRNA from 2 species